rnacentral:lncRNA from 1 species
GGUACAACAAUUAGAAAAGUUAUUUUUAAGACUGAAAAUAGUACAUUAGAACAUUACAUAUUAUUCUUCAUGAAGUGUAAUAGAAAGGGUGAUAAAAAACAUUAUAAAUAAUAAAUAAUCCAGCAACAAGUGCACAAAUCGACAGAAAGAAAAUUCCAGUUGAUCAUACGGAAACAUAAAGUUGCAUAAGCCAUGUCUGCUCAAAUAAUGAGGUGAUCAGGCUGCAGCGGCCGCGGCACCCAAGCAAAGAGCAAAACAGCACUGGAAAGGACACAAGAGGCAGCUGAGCACAGCGGUGAUGAUUUCACAGGGCAAACACACAACACAUAGCGCACAUCCACCACAACAUGCCAAACAAGCCUGGCUAUCUGUUAGCUCGCCAUCCGGCGUUUCCAGCAGCUGCUGCUGCGCGGCAUUUGACUCCUCCGUCGACAUUGUGUUAAUUGGAAGCGCAAAAUUGAACUUAUAUUAAUUUCCUGUUGUUUGCCUUUUCUAGUUUUGCCUACUCUGUAAGCUCUCAUU